CUCUCCAAUUGUUUUAUGCUUGCAUAAAUGAUUUUUGGAUUCGGAGCGAGUGGCGAACUGGUGAGUAACACGUGGGUAACCUGCCCCGAAGCGGGGGAUAACAUUUGGAAACAAGUGCUAAUACCGCAUAAUUAGUUGGAACCGCAUGGUUCCAACUUGAAAGAUGGCUCUGCUAUCACUUUGGGAUGGACCCGCGCCGUAUUAGUUAGUUGGUGAGAUAAAAGCCCACCAAGACGAUGAUACGUAGCCGACCUGAGAGGGUAAUCGGCCACAUUGGGACUGAGACACGGCCCAGACUCCUACGGGAGGCAGCAGUAGGGAAUCUUCCACAAUGGACGAAAGUCUGAUGGAGCAACGCCGCGUGAGUGAUGAAGGUUUUCGGAUCGUAAAACUCUGUUGUUAAAGAAGAACAAGUGUUAGAGUAACUGUUAACACUUUGACGGUAUUUAACCAGAAAGCCACGGCUAACUACGUGCCAGCAGCCGCGGUAAUACGUAGGUGGCAAGCGUUGUCCGGAUUUAUUGGGCGUAAAGCGAGCGCAGGCGGUUUUGUAAGUCUGCUGUGAAAGCCCUCAGCUCAACUGAGGAAGUGCAGUGGAAACUACAAAACUUGAGUACAGAAGAGGAAAGUGGAACUCCAUGUGUAGCGGUGAAAUGCGUAGAUAUAUGGAAGAACACCAGUGGCGAAGGCGGCUUUCUGGUCUGUUACUGACGCUGAGGCUCGAAAGCAUGGGUAGCGAACAGGAUUAGAUACCCUGGUAGUCCAUGCCGUAAACGAUGAAUACUAGGUGUUGGAGGGGUUUCCGCCCUUCAGUGCCGCAGCUAACGCAUUAAGUAUUCCGCCUGGGGAGUACGACCGCAAAGGUUGAAACUCAAAGGAAUUGACGGGGGCCCGCACAAGUGGUGGAGCAUGUGGUUUAAUUCGAUGCUACGCGAAGAACCUUACCAGCUCUGACAUCUUUCUGCCAACCCAAGAGAUUGGGCGUUCCCUUCCGGGGACAGAAUGACAGGUGGUGCAUGGUUGUCGUCAGCUCGUGUCGUGAGAUGUUGGGUUAAGUCCGCACAAACCCAACCCCUUUUUAUUAAUUGGCACCAUUUAUUUGGGCACUUUU
rnacentral:rRNA from 1 species